GAUGAACGCUGGCGGCGUGCCUAAUACAUGCAAGUCGAGCGAACGGACGAGAAGCUUGCUUCUCUGAUGUUAGCGGCGGACGGGUGAGUAACACGUGGAUAACCUACCUAUAAGACUGGGAUAACUUCGGGAAACCGGAGCUAAUACCGGAUAAUAUUUUGAACCGCAUGGUUCAAAAGUGAAAGACGGUCUUGCUGUCACUUAUAGAUGGAUCCGCGCUGCAUUAGCUAGUUGGUAAGGUAACGGCUUACCAAGGCAACGAUGCAUAGCCGACCUGAGAGGGUGAUCGGCCACACUGGAACUGAGACACGGUCCAGACUCCUACGGGAGGCAGCAGUAGGGAAUCUUCCGCAAUGGGCGAAAGCCUGACGGAGCAACGCCGCGUGAGUGAUGAAGGUCUUCGGAUCGUAAAACUCUGUUAUUAGGGAAGAACAUAUGUGUAAGUAACUGUGCACAUCUUGAUGGUACCUAGUCAGAAAGCCACGGCUAACUACGUG
rnacentral:rRNA from 1 species